rnacentral:rRNA from 1 species
GACGAACGCUGGCGGCGUGCCUAAUACAUGCAAGUCGAGCGAACCAAUGGGAGCUUGCUCCCUGAGGUUAGCGGCGGACGGGUGAGUAACACGUGGGUAACCUGCCUGUGAGAUUGGGAUAACUCCGGGAAACCGGAGCUAAUACCGGAUAAUAUUUUGAACCGCAUGGUUCAAAAUUGAAAGACGGCUUCGGCUGUCACUUACAGAUGGACCCGCGGCGCAUUAGCUAGUUGGUGAGGUAACGGCUCACCAAGGCGACGAUGCGUAGCCGACCUGAGAGGGGGAUCGGCCACACUGGGACUGAGACACCGCCCAGACUCCUACGGGAGGCAGCAGUAGGGAAUCUUCCGCAAUGGACGAAAGUCUGACGGAGCAACGCCGCGUGAACGAUGAAGGCCUUCGGGUCGUAAAGUUCUGUUGUGAGGGAAGAACAAGUACCAGAGUAACUGCUGGUACCUUGACGGUACCUAACCAGAAAGCCACGGCUAACUACGUG